UAGAGGGUGUGUGUUGAGGUUAGGGUCUGAGCUAGGGGGUUAUGGUUUAUGUUGAGGUUAGGGUCUGAGCGAGGGGGUUAUGGUUUAUGUUGAGGUUAGGGUCUGAGCGAGGGGGUUAUGGUUUAUGUUGAGG